UGGGGAAUAUUGCACAAUGGGGGAAACCCUGAUGCAGCGACGCCGCGUGAGCGAAGAAGGUUUUCGAAUCGUAAAGCUCUGUCCUAUGGGAAGAUAAUGACGGUACCAUAGGAGGAAGCCCCGGCUAACUACGUGCCAGCAGCCGCGGUAAUACGUAGGGGGCAAGCGUUGUCCGGAAUCACUGGGCGUAAAGGGUUCGCAGGCGGAAUGCAAGUCAGUUGUGAAAGGCAGAGGCUCAACCUCUGUAAGCAAUUGAAACUGUAUUUCUUGAGAUGUGGAGAGGCAAGUGGAAUUCCUAGUGUAGCGGUGAAAUGCGUAGAUAUUAGGAAGAAUACCGGUGGCGAAGGCGACUUGCUGGACACAAACUGACGCUGAGGAACGAAAGCGUGGGUAGCAAACAGG
rnacentral:rRNA from 1 species